rnacentral:lncRNA from 1 species
AGAAAAUAUAAGGUGAAAUCCAACAAAAUGACUUCUCAAAGCUGUCAAUCUUCUUAUCUUUUUGGUGUUUUAUGUAUUAUUUUGAUUUUGAAUUCAGGUAAAGGGAGGAAUUUUUUCUAUAUCUCUUUUAAUAAAAUUUUAUUUUGAUGAAACAAUUUACAUUUAAAUUUAAGAAUUUUUAUUAUUUGUAUCCUUAAAAAAAAAAUUCAUAGAGAGAGAAAAAGAUUAGCUUUAGUUGUUAGAUCUACGUGAUUCACCAACUUUUGAUGAAGUAAUGAUAAUAUCGGGUGAAAAAUUUGAAAAAUAUCAAGAAACAACUUUGUGUGCAUAAUAACUUAUACAAUUUUUUUUGUUUCAGGAUCUGUUACUAGUUUGGACACUCCAGCUACACUAGAUUGCCCUUAUGGAAGAAAUGGACCACCAGCAGCAUGUUGCGUAGAUACUUGUAAUACAAAUUGUGGCACAAAAUGCCUUAGAAAGGGAUUUCAAAAAGGUGGACAAUGUUGGUUUCCGGGUGGUCAAGAUAAUUGUUGUUGUUUUAUUUAAGAAGCUACGGUGUAUCAUUCAUAUCAAUAAAAAAUAAAAGCUGCACCUUAAUUUGUGUUUGAAAAUUAGAAGCUGUAAGGAGUUUUUGUAAAGUUGGAAAUCUGUAAACCUCAAUUAUCGAUAAAUUCACUUUAAAAUGAAAAUAAAUUCUCAUCAACAAUCUAUGUUACAAAUUAG